GUAAGGAGAGAAGGGCACACGGAGGAUGCCAAGGCAUCCGACAGCGAAGAAGGACGCGGCAAGCUGCGAAAAGCCCCGGGGAGGCGCAAGCGACCAUCGAUCCGGGGAUGUCCGAAUGGGGCAACCCCUCCGGCGUAGGCCGGAGACCCGCGAGCUGCGGGGGCGAAGUCGGCGAAGUGAAACAUCUCAGUAGCCGGACAUAGAAGAAAUCGAAGAGAUACCCUGAGUAGUGGUGAGCGAAAGGGGAGCAGCCUAAACCGCUUACGUGCAAGCCUGCAAGCGUUGCGUAAGUCGGGGUAACAGGAUCAUCCAGGAGCGGGUUGCAGACCGCUCGGACAGUUAUCAAACGCAAGGUCAGUUGAAUGGUAUUGGGAAAGCCAGCCGCAGAGGGUGAGAGCCCCGUAAGCGAAGGCGUUGCGUCUGUCUGUGGAUGAAACCUGAGUAGGCCGGAGCACGAGGAAUUCCGGUUGAAUUUGGGCCGCCCAUGGUCCAAGGCUAAAUAUGUCGGAUGACCGAUAGAGAAGAGUACCGAGAGGGAAAGGUGAAAAGCACCCCUGGCGGGGAGUGAAAGAGACCUGAACCCGUGUGCCUACAAGCGAUCGGAGCAUGGCCGGCGUUUUCGGACGCUGGGGUAUGUGACGGUAUGCCUUUUGUAAAAUGAGCCGGCGAGUUAUUGUGCGUAGCGAGGUUAAGGACUGCGAGGUCCGGAGCCGAAGGGAAACCGAGUCUGAAUAGGGCGCAAGUUUCGUACAAUGGACCCGAAGCCCGACGAUCUAUCCAUGUCCAGGUUGAAGCCCCGGUGAAGCGGGGUGGAGGACCGAACCGAAGCCUGUUGAAAAAGUCUCGGAUGAGGUGUGGAUAGGAGUGAAAAGCUAAUCGAGUUGGGUGAUAGCUGGUUCUCCCCGAAAUGCAUUUAGGUGCAGCCCUGGAUGUUUAGUGAUGGGGGUAGAGCACUGACUGGACGCGGGCGGUUGUGACCGUACCAAAUCCAAUCAAACUGCGAAUACCAUCACUUAAGAGUCCAGGAGUGAGACUGCGGGAGAGAAGUUUCGUAGUCGAGAGGGAAAGAGCCCAGACCCACAGCUAAGGUCCCGAAGACAUGCUGAGUGUGGCAAGGAUGUGACGAUGCCUGGACAGCCAGGAGGUUGGCUUAGAAGCAGCCACCCUUUAAAGAGUGCGUAAUAGCUCACUGGUCGAGGAUUGUUGCGCCGAAAAUACCGGGGGCUAAGCAUGUCACCGAAGCUUGGGGAUUGGAUGUAAGUCCGAAUCGGUAGGGGAGCGUUCCAUGUGGGGAGAAGUCGACCCGGCGAGGUUCGGUGGACAGCAUGGAAGUGAGAAUGCCGGCAUGAGUAACGCGAAGUGUGUGAGAAUCACACUCACCGGAAGUCCAAGGGUUCCUGGGGAAGGUUGAUCCGCCCAGGGUAAGGCGGGGCCUAAGGUAAGGCCGAGAGGCGUAGCUGAUGGACAACAGGUUGCUAAUCCUGUCCCGCGAAGCGGUUGCUUGACGAUGGAGUGACGCAGGAAGCUAGGUGCGCCGGCGGAUGGAAUAGCCGGUCUAAGGGCGAAGCCUGGACGGGGAGGCAAAUCCCCCUGUUUAUAGGUGAGACCUGAGUGGGAGUUGUCAGAGAUGGCGACGAAGGCAUUGACGCUCGACUGCCGGGAAAAGCUUCUAAGGAGACCGCCCGCGCCCGUACCCGAAACCGACACAGGUGGACUGGCUGAGAAGGCUAAGGUGAGCGGGAGAACUAUCGUUAAGGAACUCUGCAAGUUGACCCCGUAACCUAGGGAGAAGGGGUGCCACAAGGGUGAAGAAGGACAUUUGGAGCCCGAAGUGGUCGCAGAAACCAGGCACAGGCGACUGUUUACUAAAAACACAGGACUCUGCAUAAGGCGUAAGCCGAAGUAUAGGGUCUGACACCUGCCCGGUGCUGGAAGGUUAAUUGGAGGGGUUAGUGCCGCGAGGUGCGAAGCUCUGAAAUGAAGCCCCAGUAAACGGCGGCCGUAACUAUAACGGUCCUAAGGUAGCGAAAUUCCUUGUCGGGUAAGUUCCGACCUGCACGAAAGGUGUAACGAUCUGUGCGCUGUCUCGACGGUAGGCCCGGUGAAAUUGUGGUCCUGGUAAAGACGCCAGGUACCCGUGGUGGGACGGAAAGACCCCAUGGAGCUUUACUGUAACUUGGUAUUGGAUUUUGUCCUAUGAUGCACAGGAUAGGUGGGAGGCAUUGAGACGGUUAUUUCGGUGACCGAGGAGCCAUUGUUGGGAUACCACCCUUUGUAUGAUGAAAUUCUAACCCUUUAGCGUUGAAGCACGCGAGGGGACAUUGCCAGGCGGGCAGUUUGACUGGGGCGGUCGCCUCCCAAAGAGUAACGGAGGCGCGCAAAGGUCACCUCGGGGCGAAUGGAAACCGCCCGUAAGGAGCGUAAGCGUAUAAGGUGGCUUGACUGCGAGACUGACGAGUCGAGCAGGGACGAAAGUCGGUGCUAGUGAUCCGGUGGUGCUGAAUGGAAGGGCCAUCGCUCAACGGAUAAAAGCUACCCUGGGGAUAACAGGCUGAUCUCGCCCGAGAGUUCCAAUCGACGGCGUGGUUUGGCACCUCGAUGUCGGCUCAUCGCAUCCUGGGGCUGGAGCAGGUCCCAAGGGUUGGUCUGUUCGCCCAUUAAAGCGGUACGUGAGCUGGGUUUAGAACGUCGUGAGACAGUUCGGUCCCUAUCCACCAUGGGCGUGAGGUAUUUGAGGAGAUCUGUUCCCAGUACGAGAGGACCGGAAUGGACGAACCGCUGGUGUACCGGUUGUGGCGCCAGCUGCAUAAGCCGGGUAGCCAAGUUCGGGAAGGAUAACCGCUGAAAGCAUCUAAGUGGGAAGCCAACUCCGAGAUGAGAUACCUGCCCUCGAGAGAGGGUAAGCAGCCCGCGAGACGAGCGGGAAGAUAGGCCGGGGGUGUAAGCGCUGAGAGGCGUUGAGCUGACCGGUACUAAAGCUGCGAAACUUUAUUCUU
rnacentral:rRNA from 1 species